rnacentral:rRNA from 1 species
UGGGGAAUUUUGGACAAUGGGCGCAAGCCUGAUCCAGCAAUGCCGCGUGCAGGAUGAAGGCCUUCGGGUUGUAAACUGCUUUUGUACGGAACGAAACGGUCCUUUCUAAUACAAGGGGCUAAUGACGGUACCGUAAGAAUAAGCACCGGCUAACUACGUGCCAGCAGCCGCGGUAAUACGUAGGGUGCGAGCGUUAAUCGGAAUUACUGGGCGUAAAGCGUGCGCAGGCGGUGAUGUAAGACAGUUGUGAAAUCCCCGGGCUCAACCUGGGAGCUGCAUCUGUGACUGCAUCGCUAGAGUACGGCAGAGGGGGAUGGAAUUCCGCGUGUAGCAGUGAAAUGCGUAGAUAUGCGGAGGAACACCGAUGGCGAAGGCAAUCCCCUGGGCCUGUACUGACGCUCAUGCACGAAAGCGUGGGGAGCAAACAGG